rnacentral:rRNA from 1 species
UAAUACGAAGGGGGCUAGCGUUGCUCGGAAUGACUGGGCGUAAAGGGCGCGUAGGCGGCUUGCAUAGUCAGGCGUGAAAUUCCUGGGCUUAACCUGGGGGCUGCGCUUGAGACGUGUGGGCUUGAGUGGGGAAGAGGGUCGUGGAAUUCCCAGUGUAGAGGUGAAAUUCGUAGAUAUUGGGAAGAACACCGGUGGCGAAGGCGGCGACCUGGUCCUUGACUGACGCUGAGGCGCGAAAGCGUGGGGAGCAAACAGG